rnacentral:rRNA from 1 species
UGGGGAAUAUUGCACAAUGGAGGGAACUCUGAUGCAGCGACGCCGCGUGAACGAAGAAGGCUUUCGAGUCGUAAAGUUCUUUUAUAUGGGAAGAUAAUGACGGUACCAUAAGAAGAAGCCCCGGCUAACUACGUGCCAGCAGCCGCGGUAAUACGUAGGGGGCUAGCGUUGUCCGGAAUCACUGGGCGUAAAGGGUUCGCAGGCGGAAAUGCAAGUCAGGUGUAAAAGGCAGUAGCUUAACUACUGUAAGCAUUUGAAACUGCAUAUCUUGAGAAGAGUAGAGGUAAGUGGAAUUUUUAGUGUAGCGGUGAAAUGCGUAGAUAUUAAAAAGAAUACCGGUGGCGGAGGUGACUUACUGGGCUCAUUCUGACGCUGAGGAACGAAAGCGUGGGUAGCAAACAGG